rnacentral:rRNA from 1 species
UACGGAGGGUGCAAGCAUUAAUCGGAUUUAUUGGGCGUAAAGGGCGCGUAGGCGGGGAGAUAAGUCAGAUGUGAAAUCCCGGGGCUCAACCUCGGAACCGCAUUUGAAACUGUCUUUCUAGAGGAUAGGCGGAGAAAACGGAAUUCCACAAGUAGCGGUGAAAUGCGUAGAUAUGUGGAAGAACACCGGUGGCGAAGGCGGUUUUCUAGCUUAGACCUGACGCUGAGGCGCGAAAGCAAGGGGAUCAAAC